CAUUAACAAGCCGUGGAGGUCGCCUUGAAAGGGGCCGAUCUCUCACCUGGCCAUCCUUGUUUACUUUACACCUGUUGCUUUGGUGGGCCCGCUGUGAGGCCGCCAGGGAACAUUAAGUUUUCAGGCUUGUGUCCACCAAGGUUUUAACUAAAUCUGCAAGGUCUUUUUUUUGCUGUCUGAGUUGGGAAAAACAUAAUCUUUAAAAAAAACUUUCAACAACGGAUCUCUUGGUUCCAGCAUCGAUGAAGAACGCAGCGAAAUGCGAUAAGUAAUGUGAAUUGCAGAAUUCCGCGAAUCAUUGAAUCUUUGAACGCAUAUUGCGCCCUCUGGUAUUCUGGGGGGCAUGCCUGUCCGAGCGUCAUUACUCUUAGUCAAGCACAGCUUGUUUUGUUGAGCCAUUGUUUUUCUUUUGGGAACAGGCUUGAAAUGCAGUGACGAGCGACACUGAGUUUGGUGCCCGAGUGUUAUGAGGCUUUGUCACACGCUCUUGUGGUCCAGCCAGCGCUCAGUUAAUGUUUUACAUAGUUUUCAUUAAGAUUGACCUCGGAUCAGGUAAGAAUACCC
rnacentral:rRNA from 1 species